UACAUGCAAGUCGAACGAACUCGCGUGAUGAUUGAAGCUUGCUUCAUGAAUCACAUUUGAGUGAGUGGCGGACGGGUGAGUAACACGUGGGUAACCUGCCCAAAAGUGGGGGAUAACAUCUGGAAACAGGUGCUAAUACCGCAUAACAACUACUUUCACAUGAUCGUAGCUUGAAAGAUGGCUCUGCUAUCGCUUUUGGAUGGACCCGCGGCGUAUUAGCUAGUUGGUGAGGUAACGGCUCACCAAGGCAAUGAUACGUAGCCGACCUGAGAGGGUAAUCGGCCACAUUGGGACUGAGACACGGCCCAAACUCCUACGGGAGGCAGCAGUAGGGAAUCUUCCACAAUGGGCGAAAGCCUGAUGGAGCAAUGCCGCGUGAGUGAAGAAGGUUUUCGGAUCGUAAAACUCUGUUGUUGAAGAAGAACAUGCGUGAGAGUAACUGUUCACGUACUGACGGUAUUCAACCAGAAAGCCACGGCUAACUACGUGCCAGCAGCCGCGGUAAUACGUAGGUGGCAAGCGUUGUCCGGAUUUAUUGGGCGUAAAGAGAAUGUAGGCGGUUUAUUAAGUUUGAAGUGAAAGCCCUCGGCUCAACCGAGGAAGUGCUUCGAAAACUGGUAAACUUGAGUGCAGAAGAGGAAAGUGGAACUCCAUGUGUAGCGGUGGAAUGCGUAGAUAUAUGGAAGAACACCAGUGGCGAAGGCGGCUUUCUGGUCUGUAACUGACGCUGAGAUUCGAAAGCAUGGGUAGCAAACAGGAUUAGAUACCCUGGUAGUCCAUGCCGUAAACGAUGAGUGCUAAGUGUUGGAGGGUUUCCGCCCUUCAGUGCUGCAGCUAACGCAUUAAGCACUCCGCCUGGGGAGUACGACCGCAAGGUUGAAACUCAAAGGAAUUGACGGGGGCCCGCACAAGCGGUGGAGCAUGUGGUUUAAUUCGAAGCAACGCGAAGAACCUUACCAGGUCUUGACAUACCAUGAAAAGCUAAGAGAUUAGUCUUUCCCUUCGGGGACAUGGAUACAGGUGGUGCAUGGUUGUCGUCAGCUCGUGUCGUGAGAUGUUGGGUUUAGUCCCGCCACGAGCGCAACCCUUAUUAUCNUUKG
rnacentral:rRNA from 1 species